rnacentral:rRNA from 1 species
UGUGCCUACGGGGCGCAGCAGUGGGGAAUAUUGCACAAUGGGGGAAACCCUGAUGCAGCAACGCCGCGUGAGUGAAGAAGGAUUUCGGAUUGUAAAGCUCUGUUAGCAGGGAAGAGGAAGGAAGGUACCUGCAGAGGAAGCCACGGCUAACUACGUGCCAGCAGCCGCGGUAAUACGUAGGUGGCAAGCGUUGUUCGGAAUAAUUGGGGGUAAAGGAUGCGUGGGCGGUU